rnacentral:misc_RNA from 1 species
GAUGAAGAACGUAGCGAAAUGCGAUAAGUAAUGUGAAUUGCAGAAUUCAGUGAAUCAUCGAAUCUUUGAACGCACCUUGCGCCCUUUGGCUAUUCCGAAGGGCAUGCCUGUUUGAGUAUCAUGAACACCUCAACUCUCAUGGUUUUCCAUGAUGAGCUUGGACUUUGGGGGUCUUGCUGGCCUGUGGGUCGGCUCCUCUCAAAUGAAUCAGCUUGCCGGUUUUUGGUGGGCAUCACAGGUGUGAUAACUAUCUACGCUUGUGGUUUUCCACCAGGGUAACCUUCAGCAGUGGAGGUUCACUGGAGCUUACAAAUGUCUCUCCUCUGUGAGGACAGCCCUUUGAAUGUUUGAUCUCAAAUCAGGUAGGACUACCCGCUGAACUUAAGCAUAUCAAUAAGCGGAGGA